rnacentral:rRNA from 1 species
GAUGAACGCUGGCGGCGUGCUUAACACAUGCCAGUCGAACGGUGAAGGCGGAGCUUGCUCUGCUGGAUCAGUGGCGAACGGGUGAGUAACACGUGAGCAAUCUACCCCUGACUCUGGGAUAAGCGCUGGAAACGGCGUCUAAUACUGGAUACGAGCUGCGAAGGCAUCUUCAGCAGCUGGAAAGAACUUCGGUCAGGGAUGAGCUCGCGGCCUAUCAGCUUGUUGGUGAGGUAACGGCUCACCAAGGCGUCGACGGGUAGCCGGCCUGAGAGGGUGACCGGCCACACUGGGACUGAGACACGGCCCAGACUCCUACGGGAGGCAGCAGUGGGGAAUAUUGCACAAUGGGCGAAAGCCUGAUGCAGCAACGCCGCGUGAGGGACGACGGCCUUCGGGUUGUAAACCUCUUUUAGCAGGGAAGAAGCGAAAGUGACGGUACCUGCAGAAAAAGCGCCGGCUAACUACGUG